AAGAUGUCUUUCUGACGGGAUGGUUCCACAAAGAGGGGUCGUAAAAAAAGGGGGUGGGGGGUGAGAGUGGCAUGACCUCAACAUUUGAAGACAGUUCUUAGAAGUGAUUUUAUUAGAGAAUGAUGGGAUCAUUGAUUAGUUUGGGCCCGGCGGGAGUGGCUGCAGCAAUCGGCAGGCUGGAAGCUGCUGGGCGGGUUCCUUCUCAGCGGUUAGGAGCCAAAGGAGCCAAUUGAGCCAAAGGGGCCAAAGGAGCCAACGGAGCCAACGGAGCCAAAGGAGCCAACGGAGCCAACGGAGCCAAAGGGGCCAAAGGAGCCAACGGAGCCAACGGAGCCAAAGAAGCCAACGAAGCCAAAGGAGCUAAAGGAGCCAACGGAGCCAAAGGGGCCAAAGGAGCCGACGGAGCCAACGGAGCCAAAGGGGCCAAAGGAGCCAAAGGAGCCAAAGGAGCCAAAGGAGCCAACGGAGCCAAAGGGGCCAACGGAGCCAAAGAAGCCAACGGAGCCAAAGGGGCCAACGGAGCCAAAGAAGCCAACGAAGCCAAAGGGGCCAAAGGAGCAGAGGUGCUGGAGAUUAUGGAGAGAUCCCCAACAAUUACAAUCCACAAAACUGAUAUGAGACAAAGUCGAAAAAUAUAGAAAUGAAAAUGCAUCUUGACGUUUAGUGUCUGACUUCCACCUAAAAGCUUCUCUGUCGCUGCUCCUGGUGAAAGUUGGUGAAAGUGGGAGAACGUGUGAAACGCUUUGUGAACCUCAACAGGAAGUGAGGGUCAUCGGUAUCUCCAUGGCAACAGGAAUAUGGCUGCCUGGAGCCAGAAGGAGGUGAAGGCUUAUUCGUUCAUACGGUCUUCAUCCAUCCAAACUGCCAGAAGAUCUUCCCAAACCAGUUAAAAUCCCUCCUGACAGAAAACCGCGGCGUUGAAUCGGUGUGAGGCGUAAAAGGCUCCAGCAGAGGGCACCCCGCCUCCACCUCCACCUCCACCUUCCUGAGGGAAGCCGCGGGCGAGCGGCUGACGGACAACCGCCGCAGAGUCAGAAUCUAUUCCAACAACAAGCUGACACGUUGUGGGAAAUCAAACACGCUGGGAUGUUAUCACGGUGCGACCGCUUGGUUCCCACGCUCGGCAGGAGAAAGUCGCAGAGAGGACGGGCGGCUCCCCGGGCGGAUGGCGCCCGGCUCAUCGGAAGGCCGCGGGGGGCGCAGCGGGCCGGCGAGCGGGCCCUCGUCACGUGGAGUGUGAGGCGAGCCG
ensembl:lncRNA